UUAAGCGACUAAGCGUACACGGUGGAUGCCCUGGCAGUCAGAGGCGAUGAAGGACGUGCUAAUCUGCGAUAAGCGUCGGUAAGGUGAUAUGAACCGUUAUAACCGGCGAUUUCCGAAUGGGGAAACCCAGUGUGUUUCGACACACUAUCAUUAACUGAAUCCAUAGGUUAAUGAGGCGAACCGGGGGAACUGAAACAUCUAAGUACCCCGAGGAAAAGAAAUCAACCGAGAUUCCCCCAGUAGCGGCGAGCGAACGGGGAGCAGCCCAGAGCCUGAAUCAGUGUGUGUGUUAGUGGAAGCGUCUGGAAAGGCGCGCGAUACAGGGUGACAGCCCCGUACACAAAAAUGCACAUGCUGUGAGCUCGAUGAGUAGGGCGGGACACGUGGUAUCCUGUCUGAAUAUGGGGGGACCAUCCUCCAAGGCUAAAUACUCCUGACUGACCGAUAGUGAACCAGUACCGUGAGGGAAAGGCGAAAAGAACCCCGGCGAGGGGAGUGAAAAAGAACCUGAAACCGUGUACGUACAAGCAGUGGGAGCCUCUUUAUGGGGUGACUGCGUACCUUUUGUAUAAUGGGUCAGCGACUUAUAUUCUGUAGCAAGGUUAACCGAAUAGGGGAGCCGAAGGGAAACCGAGUCUUAACUGGGCGUUAAGUUGCAGGGUAUAGACCCGAAACCCGGUGAUCUAGCCAUGGGCAGGUUGAAGGUUGGGUAACACUAACUGGAGGACCGAACCGACUAAUGUUGAAAAAUUAGCGGAUGACUUGUGGCUGGGGGUGAAAGGCCAAUCAAACCGGGAGAUAGCUGGUUCUCCCCGAAAGCUAUUUAGGUAGCGCCUCGUGAACUCAUCUCCGGGGGUAGAGCACUGUUUCGGCAAGGGGGUCAUCCCGACUUACCAACCCGAUGCAAACUGCGAAUACCGGAGAAUGUUAUCACGGGAGACACACGGCGGGUGCUAACGUCCGUCGUGAAGAGGGAAACAACCCAGACCGCCAGCUAAGGUCCCAAAGUCAUGGUUAAGUGGGAAACGAUGUGGGAAGGCCCAGACAGCCAGGAUGUUGGCUUAGAAGCAGCCAUCAUUUAAAGAAAGCGUAAUAGCUCACUGGUCGAGUCGGCCUGCGCGGAAGAUGUAACGGGGCUAAACCAUGCACCGAAGCUGCGGCAGCGACACUAUGUGUUGUUGGGUAGGGGAGCGUUCUGUAAGCCUGUGAAGGUGUACUGUGAGGUAUGCUGGAGGUAUCAGAAGUGCGAAUGCUGACAUAAGUAACGAUAAAGCGGGUGAAAAGCCCGCUCGCCGGAAGACCAAGGGUUCCUGUCCAACGUUAAUCGGGGCAGGGUGAGUCGACCCCUAAGGCGAGGCCGAAAGGCGUAGUCGAUGGGAAACAGGUUAAUAUUCCUGUACUUGGUGUUACUGCGAAGGGGGGACGGAGAAGGCUAUGUUGGCCGGGCGACGGUUGUCCCGGUUUAAGCGUGUAGGCUGGUUUUCCAGGCAAAUCCGGAAAAUCAAGGCUGAGGCGUGAUGACGAGGCACUACGGUGCUGAAGCAACAAAUGCCCUGCUUCCAGGAAAAGCCUCUAAGCAUCAGGUAACAUCAAAUCGUACCCCAAACCGACACAGGUGGUCAGGUAGAGAAUACCAAGGCGCUUGAGAGAACUCGGGUGAAGGAACUAGGCAAAAUGGUGCCGUAACUUCGGGAGAAGGCACGCUGAUAUGUAGGUGAGGUCCCUCGCGGAUGGAGCUGAAAUCAGUCGAAGAUACCAGCUGGCUGCAACUGUUUAUUAAAAACACAGCACUGUGCAAACACGAAAGUGGACGUAUACGGUGUGACGCCUGCCCGGUGCCGGAAGGUUAAUUGAUGGGGUUAGCGGUAACGCGAAGCUCUUGAUCGAAGCCCCGGUAAACGGCGGCCGUAACUAUAACGGUCCUAAGGUAGCGAAAUUCCUUGUCGGGUAAGUUCCGACCUGCACGAAUGGCGUAAUGAUGGCCAGGCUGUCUCCACCCGAGACUCAGUGAAAUUGAACUCGCUGUGAAGAUGCAGUGUACCCGCGGCAAGACGGAAAGACCCCGUGAACCUUUACUAUAGCUUGACACUGAACAUUGAGCCUUGAUGUGUAGGAUAGGUGGGAGGCUUUGAAGUGUGGACGCCAGUCUGCAUGGAGCCGACCUUGAAAUACCACCCUUUAAUGUUUGAUGUUCUAACGUUGACCCGUAAUCCGGGUUGCGGACAGUGUCUGGUGGGUAGUUUGACUGGGGCGGUCUCCUCCUAAAGAGUAACGGAGGAGCACGAAGGUUGGCUAAUCCUGGUCGGACAUCAGGAGGUUAGUGCAAUGGCAUAAGCCAGCUUGACUGCGAGCGUGACGGCGCGAGCAGGUGCGAAAGCAGGUCAUAGUGAUCCGGUGGUUCUGAAUGGAAGGGCCAUCGCUCAACGGAUAAAAGGUACUCCGGGGAUAACAGGCUGAUACCGCCCAAGAGUUCAUAUCGACGGCGGUGUUUGGCACCUCGAUGUCGGCUCAUCACAUCCUGGGGCUGAAGUAGGUCCCAAGGGUAUGGCUGUUCGCCAUUUAAAGUGGUACGCGAGCUGGGUUUAGAACGUCGUGAGACAGUUCGGUCCCUAUCUGCCGUGGGCGCUGGAGAACUGAGGGGGGCUGCUCCUAGUACGAGAGGACCGGAGUGGACGCAUCACUGGUGUUCGGGUUGUCAUGCCAAUGGCACUGCCCGGUAGCUAAAUGCGGAAGAGAUAAGUGCUGAAAGCAUCUAAGCACGAAACUUGCCCCGAGAUGAGUUCUCCCUGACUCCUUGAGAGUCCUGAAGGAACGUUGAAGACGACGACGUUGAUAGGCCGGGUGUGUAAGCGCAGCGAUGCGUUGAGCUAACCGGUACUAAUGAACCGUGAGGCUUAACCUU
rnacentral:rRNA from 1 species